AAACGCUGCAUGGUUUGAAAUUUGUAACCGCUCAUUCAAGCAAUAUUUGGUCAACAUUAAAUAAAUAAAUAUUUGUACGUAGGCUUAUAAUUAUUGGCCGAGCACUCUUCUUGUUAGAUUAACAUACUCACAGCAGUAAAAAACAUUUUUCUAGGCAGAAGUAGGUUAAUAUAUCCAUCAGUAUGCACCUCUCUAUCAUGUCAAUCUUUUAAAAGUAAGAAAGACAUCGUGCUAUAGGUAAAGAUCUAACGAAGGCACAUUGCUUGAAGACUAUAGUACAAAAACAAAGAAAACACUCGGCGACAGAGCAUUCGUACCCUCCGCUCCAAAAAUCUGGAAUGAAUUACCCAUGUACAUAAGAAAUUUUCACAACUUUAGUGUUUCAGUCCAAGAAAUUAGUUAAGAUUACUACUUUUGAAGAAGCCUGUAAUGUAAAUACUACAUGUAACAUAUAGUCUAUAUAAUCUG